CUAGAGCGUUUAUUAGACAUGUACAUUAUAUUAGGCCUAGAUACAAUAUAGAUACCAUUGUUCAACUGUCCACACAUUAUAGUAACACCAUUCAAACUGAUAUCAUAAAAAAAAAUUAAUUGAUAUUCGAUAAUUUGACUUAGCUAAAAGGCCUACAAAAAUAAUAUUUAAAAAAAAUAGAAUAACAAUAACAUUCAUUUAGAAUAAUAAAAUGAGAUUCAAAUACAAGCUUGAUAAUUUCUAAGGCUAGAACUGGAACUGAUCUUCUAUUUUCAAUGUUCAAGAAUCUCUCGCCAUCUCCGAAUCUCCUAC
rnacentral:lncRNA from 1 species